rnacentral:lncRNA from 1 species
UCUGCUCUUCGGUCAGGUUGUUUUCACUUUGACACAUUCCCCAUUUCCAUUCUGGGUUUUAUCAGGUACCCCACUUCCCACAUAAGGGCCAUACAUAUACAUGCAAGAUCAUUGAGUUUCUUGAAUUGCAUUUCAAGGAUUUAAAAAAUUUACAUAAAUAAGGAGAUUUGGUAUGAUUGUGAAUGAGAUCACUUUUUACCAUUAAAUUUACAACAUGUAGACAACUAGACUGAGCAUCUAGAGGAA